GCACACCCAACUCUGUCGUUGUCCCAUCAAACACUGCAAGGUUUGGAAAUAAACACAGCUCCUAAGAUCCAGGGCUGUCCAGAGUUGCUGGCGCUUUCUAGAACUGAAAGCUGCCGACACACACAAUCCUGCCCCUCCUGGCAUCGAAAGAGCAGAUGGGGCCCGUGCAGCCGUCACAAGACCCUGCACCCACGACUCCACGCUGGCUGGGGGCCAGAAGGGCACCUCUCCGAGGCCUUUUCAGCUAACGGCCUGUACUUGUGUCGGUCUCCGGUGAAGGUUCCUGAGACAAAUCGAGAGUCUUCCAGGCCCACAGUGUGCCGGGGCUGGAGGCAGGGCGGGCUCUUGUUUCCAUUUUAUGUUCACUCAUAGAACCAAACUUCAAGGGUGGCCCGAUCGAGCUUUGUCAAGAGGAGAAGCCCCUGCACAUAAAGGUUGUUUAUCGAAGAGAGAAUCUAAGAAAUUGGCAGCUAAGUCUUAUCAAGAGGGGAAAAACGCAGUAGAAUGUGUGUGUCAUCUGAGCUCGAGGUGACAUGGCAGCCCCUCCCAGUGUGCUCCGGCCUGGGGACAUGAGUCUGGUAGAGGAGGGAAACCGGGAUGGGGACGAGGAGGCAAGGCUGCGCCAACAAACGUGUAACACGCCCGGGUGAGCAGAGCUCCAGUUCAGCUCACCACCGUGGCCUCAGAUCCAGCUGCUCCACUCUUUCUGAAUCAACACGACAUCAAGGAAUUGAGAGCCCUGCAUCUGCUGGAUACCGAGGAAGAGCCCUCGGAGGCGCUGGGAGCCCCCUGGCACCAGGCUGGUUACAGCAAAGGCAUUCACGAUAUGAUUUCCACGUGUUCUAGCCACAGCAAUGGGUGUUUGUGAGACAUCCAGGAGGAGUCUGGCCCAGAGUUCCUGCCAGGAGCCCUGCAGAGCCCCAGCCUGCCCAGAGAGCCGGGCUGCUUCGGAGACCGAGCGUGGCUGGAAACCUCAGGACGGGUCACAGGGCCAGUGGGGCAAGCGCACGGCCCUCAGGGCAGGUGUCCCAGGGGAACAUUUGGGGGCAUGUGGUGUCCAGCAGAGGCUGGGAGGAUGGAGAGCGCCAGGGCUGCCGUCCAGAGGACCCAGGAUUCUUGGCAAGUGUCCCUCUGGCCGCCAGAGGGACGAGGCCAUGUGGCAGCCCUCUCCGUGAAUGUUUCACUUUUCCACACUGUUUUCUGGAAAAGGGUCUCCCCCUUGCCAGAAGCCUCUGUCCCUCCACUUCGUGCUAAGGGGCUCCCACCAAUGCUGCGGCCCCAGAGAAAGAUCGCCAGCUCUGCCACCUGCCGCUCUGGGACCUUGCAUGACGCAGCCUCCCGGGCUUGUUCUUUCAUCUGAAAAAUGAAGAUGAUGAUGGUUCCGCUCACAGAGUUGUUAGGAGAGGCAAACGGACAUCCAGCUGAGGAUCGAACGCGUGGUGGGAGCUCAGGAAAUGGUGACUCUUGUUCUAGAAGCCUCUUGUAGAAGGGUCGUGAGGGAAGGUAUAGGGCAGCUGUCCACGGACCACAUGUAAACAACCUGUGACUCGUCUAGAACAUCCACGUUCCUGCAUCCUCUCAGUUCUGUGCAAACGCCAGGGAGACCCGAGUCCUCUCCUGCUCCUCCUGGCCUCUCUCCCACCUUGUGCCGCGUCCCAAGAACACAGGAAGGACCACACUGGGGAUAAGACUCAAGUUAUGUAGGCGGACAGUCCCAGGUCAAACACCACUUGCGCUCCUGAGGGGGGUGCCACUGCUCACACCCCACAGUGCUGGGCCUGGAGGAAGCAUGCGCCCAACCCAACGCUGCCGCCCAGCCCCAGCCCCACAGGCCCGGUCACUCAGUCGUUCAUCCCACGAAUACUCAGAAAGCCCACGUGAGGUGCCAGGGGUGUCUUGUGGGCUGCACACGACAGCGAGCAAGAGCAAGACCCAUAGCGUCUCUGCACUCGCGGGCUCAGCCUCACAAGGAGCAAGACAGAACCACCAUCCAGGGGAUAAGAGCUGCAGAGGGAAAGACGGGGUGCUAAGAGAGAGGGGGCACCUAGCCCAGGAGUCUCGAUGCAGGAAGUGAUGUCUGAGCCGCGCCCCACGGGCCGAGCGGGAACCAGCCAGACGCAGAGGAGGGGGAGGCAGGGAGCAGAGACCAGCUGAGCUGCCAGAGGAACAAAACAGACAAAUGCAGACAGACCUUCAAAUCGGCUCAGCAACGUCUCCAAGCCGUGCAUUCAGGAAACGGGAGAACGAAAACCCCACUCCAGAUGCACCUGACGGCCAACCCCACAGGCCAAGAGUUCCCGCGGCCGGCACUGCUGCUCCUGCCUAAGCCCCCCGUCUUCCCGGCUGAUAGAGCCGCGGCUGCACUGAGGCAGUGGUGUGCCCAGCACCAGGUGGCCCGGGGGUUUAGUAGCAUCUACCAUCCUCUGCAAUCGCCUCCAGCUCCUGGGCCUGAGGCCUGAGCUGCAGCUCAGACUCCGCCUCCUCACAGAGACCGUCUUACAGGCGGUCAGUGAGCCGCAGACCCUCGUCUUGACAGCACCCCAGUCGUUCUGCCGAUGACACCAAGUCUCGUAGAGUGAGCUGGGAGACCUCCAUGUAGAGCCUGUUUCCACUGGAAAUGCAUGACAGAUCUCCCCUCCUCCGAAAAACCAAAACACAAAAAACCAACGACCUACAAGAGACUCCGUGAGUCUUUUAUGAGGUUUGUAGUCGAUUCAAAUUUCACGGGUCCACACCCAAAGCUCUUUCAUAUUAUCAACCUUUUACCUCUCAGGAAGUUCUAG
rnacentral:lncRNA from 1 species